CCCCCCUGCGGAAGGAUCAUUA
rnacentral:rRNA from 1 species